AGAGUUUGAUCCUGGCUCAGGAUGAACGCUAGCGGCAGGCUUAACACAUGCAAGUCGAGGGGCAGCACGAGGUAGCAAUACUUUGGUGGCGACCGGCGCACGGGUGCGUAACGCGUAUGCAACCUACCUUUAACAGGGGCAUAACACUGAGAAAUUGGUACUAAUUCCCCAUAACAUUCGAGAAGGCAUCUUCUUGGGUUAAAAACUCCGGUGGUUAAAGAUGGGCAUGCGUUGUAUUAGCUAGUUGGUGAGGUAACGGCUCACCAAGGCAACGAUACAUAGGGGGACUGAGAGGUUAACCCCCCACAUUGGUACUGAGACACGGACCAAACUCCUACGGGAGGCAGCAGUGAGGAAUAUUGGUCAAUGGACGCAAGUCUGAACCAGCCAUGCCGCGUGCAGGAAGACGGCUCUAUGAGUUGUAAACUGCUUUUGUACGAGGGUAAACGCAGAUACGUGUAUCUGUCUGAAAGUAUCGUACGAAUAAGGAUCGGCUAACUCCGUGCCAGCAGCCGCGGUAAUACGGAGGAUCCAAGCGUUAUCCGGAUUUAUUGGGUUUAAAGGGUGCGUAGGCGGUUUGAUAAGUUAGAGGUGAAAUUUCGGGGCUCAACCCUGAACGUGCCUCUAAUACUGUUGAGCUAGAGAGUAGUUGCGGUAGGCGGAAUGUAUGGUGUAGCGGUGAAAUGCUUAGAGAUCAUACAGAACACCGAUUGCGAAGGCAGCUUACCAAACUAUAUCUGACGUUGAGGCACGAAAGCGUGGGGAGCAAACAGGAUUAGAUACCCUGGUAGUCCACGCAGUAAACGAUGAUAACUCGUUGUCGGCGAUACACAGUCGGUGACUAAGCGAAAGCGAUAAGUUAUCCACCUGGGGAGUACGUUCGCAAGAAUGAAACUCAAAGGAAUUGACGGGGGCCCGCACAAGCGGAGGAACAUGUG
rnacentral:rRNA from 1 species